GCGAAACUUUACAAUGCGGGAAACCGUGAUAAGGGGACACCGAGUGCCAGCAUCAUAUGCUGGCUGUCCAGGUGUGUAAACUACACCUGUUAGCAAGGGCCGGGCAAGACCGGUGCCAGCCGCCGCGGUAACACCGGCGGCCCGAGUGGUGAUCGUGAUUAUUGGGUCUAAAGGGUCCGUAGCCGGUUUGGUCAGUCCUCCGGGAAAUCUGACGGCUCAACCGUUAGGCUUUCGGGGGAUACUGCCAGGCUUGGAACCGGGAGAGGUAAGAGGUACUACAGGGGUAGGAGUGAAAUCUUGUAAUCCCUGUGGGACCACCUGUGGCGAAGGCGUCUUACCAGAACGGGUUCGACGGUGAGGGACGAAAGCUGGGGGCACGAACCGGAUUAGAUACCCGGGUAGUCCCAGCCGUAAACGAUGCUCGCUAGGUGUCAGGCAUGGCGCGACCGUGUCUGGUGCCGCAGGGAAGCCGUGAAGCGAGCCACCUGGGAAGUACGGCCGCAAGGCUGAAACUUAAAGGAAUUGGCGGGGGAGCAC
rnacentral:rRNA from 1 species